AUGGAAAAGAAAGAUGCUAAGCCUAGACUUAUUAGAUGGGUUCUCUUGCUCCAAGAAUUUGAUUUGCAUAUUGUUGAUAGAAAGGGAGCUGAGAACCCCGUUGCAGACAACUUGUCUAGGUUAGAGAAUGUUCUUGAUGACCCACUACCUAUUGAUGAUAGCUUUCCUGAUGAACAAUUAGCGAUCAUUAAUGCUUCUCAUACUGCUCCAUGGUGUGCUGAUUAUGCUAAUUACAUUGUUGCUAAAUUUAUACCACCUAGUUUCACAUACCAGCAAAAGAAAAGGUUCUUUUAUGAUUUAAGACAUUACUUCUGGGAUGACCCACACCUUUAUAAAGAAGGAGUAGAUGGUGUUAUUAGACGUUGUGUACCUAAGCAUGAACAGGAACAAAUCCUACACAAGUGUCACUCUGAACCAUAUGGAGGACACCACGCUGGAGACAGAACUGCACACAAGGUAUUGCAAUCCGGUUUUUAUUGGCCUACUCUCUUCAAAGAUGCCCAUAAGUUUGUCUUAUCUUGUGAUGAAUGUCAAAGAAUCGGCAAUAUUAGUAGACGUUAA
rnacentral:rRNA from 1 species